GAUAGAAAUGGACUCGUGGUCGAAAGGUCUGUAUCCAUGCAUUAUUGCUCUCAGACUGUUCCACCAAUCUGGGGUGAAGCAGAGGCAGUUUUGAAGGAGGCAAAUAAGUAAAACUGAGCGCAAGACAUGCAUGAGCAGUACAGCUUCGGGCCAGGCAAAGAAGAAUACAUGUUCCAGGCACAAAUUUUAUAAUUACCAGGGUUUCGAUCUGAAAUGCUGAAAGUUCCUUUCCUCCCAUGGAUGCUACUUGACCACUGAGUCCUUCCUGUAGAUUGUUAUUUGCUCCAGAUUCCAGUGUUAACCCACUCUUGUGUCUUUAAGUUUUUGUUUACCAAAAUUAAAAACUUCACAUUUAUCCAGUUUGUUCUGCAUAGACCCUGUAUUUGCCAUUCAUUCAACUUGUCUGAAUUUUUUUGAAAAAGGUUUGCAUCAUCCUCACAACGUACAUUGACACCCAGUUUUGUGGCAUCUGCAGACUUACAAAUAUUACAUUCAGUUUCCUCAUCCAAAUCAUUAAUAUAUGUUGUGACUUGCUAGGGCCAAAAGGCUGAUUCCAUGAUACCUCACUUGUCUUCAGCACCCACUCCAAAAAUAUUAUUUAGUCCUAUUCUCUGCCAAUCAAUUCUCAGUCUAUGUGAGCACUUUACCCCCAAAUCCCAUGGACUUUAACUUUGCUUACUAACCUAUGAAAUGGAACUUUAUCAAAGGCUUCUGAAAUUUCAAAUGCACACCAUCCACUUUUUUGCCCUUAUCUAUUCUGCUACUUCUU